rnacentral:rRNA from 1 species
UAAGUCUCAGUUCGGACCGCAGGCUGCAACCCGCCUGCGUGAAGCCGGAAUUGCUAGUAAUCGCGGAUCAGCAUGCCGCGGUGAAUACGUUCCCGGGCCUUGUACACACCGCCCGUCACACCAUGAGAGCCGGGGGGACCCGAAGUCGGUAGUCUAACCGUAAGGAGGACGCCGCCGAAGGUAAAACUGGUGAUUGGGGUGAAGUCGUAACAAGGUAUC